rnacentral:rRNA from 1 species
CGUGUCCUACGGCACGCAGCAGUGGGGAAUAUUGGGCAAUGGGCGCAAGCCUGACCCAGCAACGCCGCGUGAAGGAAGAAGGCUUUCGGGUUGUAAACUUCUUUUAUUGAGGACGAAACAAAUGACGGUACUCAAUGAAUAAGCCACGGCUAACUACGUGCCAGCAGCCGCGGUAAUACGUAGGUGGCAAGCGUUAUCCGGAUUUACUGGGUGUAAAGGGCGUGUAGGCGGGACUGCAAGUCAGAUGUGAAACCCAUGGGCUCAACCCAUGGCAUGCCUUUGAAACUGUAGUUCUUGAGUGAUGG